ACCCCAUGGAGCUUUAAACCCAACAGCACCCGUUUAUUUUCAUCCUCACAUAAGUUAGGUUAUGCCUGUUUGGUUUUAGGUUGGGGUGACCACGGAGUAUAAAACAACCUCCAUGAAAAAGGACCAAAAAUCCUUAUUAGAGAAAGACAUUUCUAAAAUUAAUAAAUUAAUUUUUAAUGAUCCGAUAUUCGAUCAACGAACCAAGUUACCCUGGGGAUAACAGCGCAAUCCACUUCAAGAGCUCCUAUCGACAAGUGGGUUUACGACCUCGAUGUUGGAUCAGGGUAUCCUAGUGGUGCAGCAGCUACUAACGGUUCGUUUGUUCAACGAUUAAAACCCU
rnacentral:rRNA from 1 species